CCUACGGGAGGCAGCAGUGGGGGAUAUUGCACAAUGGGGGAAACCCUGAUGCAGCGACGCCGCGUGGGUGAAGAAGCGCCUCGGCGCGUAAAGCCCUGUCAGCAGGGAAGAAAAUGACGGUACCUGAAGAAGAAGCCCCGGCUAACUACGUGCCAGCAGCCGCGGUAAUACGUAGGGGGCAAGCGUUAUCCGGAUUUACUGGGUGUAAAGGGGGCGCAGACGGCGAUGCAAGCCAGGAGUGGAAGCCCGGGGCCCAACCCCGGGACUGCUCUUGGAACUGCGUGGCUAGAGUGCAGGAGGGGCAGGCGGAAUUCCUGGUGUAGCGGUGAAAUGCGUAGAUAUCUGGAGGAACACCGGUGGCGAAGGCGGCCUGCUGGACUGCAACUGACGUUGAGGCCCGAAAGCGUGGGGAGCAAACAGGAUUAGAUACCCCAGUAGUC
rnacentral:rRNA from 1 species